CACCUUUUGCUUAUUACUUGAGACCUCCCCCCUGCAAUCAAGAUAUAGAAGUGAAAAAGAAAAAAGGAUGGGAAGGAAUUGUAAAGGGAGAGAAAAUCACAGAGAACAUCUCAGCACCUUUCUCGAAGAUGGAAAGCUGACCGUAGAGAGUUUCCGGAUGGAACAGGAAGAGAAAUUACAGCCUACGGAAGGAAACGGGAGUCAGUGUCUGACAGUGAGGCCCUGGGACUCUGUCAGCAGAUGUGAACGCAGCUGGGAGCGAGAAGUAGGGGGAUGAGCCAGAAGACUGGUGGAAGGUCUUCGUGUGGACAAGGCAUCGUCCUCCGGCCUCACCCAGUUCACGCGUAAGGAAAAACGGAUCGGGUCCCUGGCGUAGAGCUCUGCUGCCGUGUAAGAAACACUCUCUUCCCGGUGAGUUUUUACCUGGAAUGGGGAGCUCUGGUUGGGGCGUGGUGGUUACCGAUGGGCACGCUAGAGCUGGGCCACUCCAGGUUCAGGCACCCACACCUGGCCCGUACUUGACUCUAGGCUUCAUUAGAGUUAUUUUCCAUCCUGAGGACGUUGUGUGGCAGGGGUGGGGAGAGGGGGGAGGACGGCGGUGGGGUGCGGACAGGGAAGCCUGUGCAGAUGUGGACUUGUGGGUUCCAGGCCCGCGUCGGGCUCUGUGCUGACAGCUCAGAGCCUGGAGCCUGCUUGGGAUGCUGUGUCUCCCUCUCUCUCUCUCUGCCCCUCCCCAGCUCGCACCCUGUCUCUCUCAAAAAUAAACAUUAAAAAAUUAAAAAAAACCAAACAAACCCACGAAACCAUGAAAUGUCCAGCUUUAAGUUCAAACAUCCCCACGAGGAACGGCGACUCUGCAGUGUGGAAAGUGUGCUGUUAGGCUGGUCCCCUCUGCACGGAACCAGCCCGUGGCCCCAGAGAGCUGGGAGGAUGCGUCCAUUCCUGCUUCUCCUGGGAGGCCUGAGAAUUUUCCAGUGAACUCAGCAGCGAAAGGAACAGAAGUCUCCAGUUAAAGCUCGGGUUAAAUAUUAAGUUUGCUCGGCCCUUUCAUUCACAGUGUUUUAACUUUACGUGGUAUUGAAGUCCCGGCCCGUGAAUUAUUUGCACAGGUCCUCCUGCUGGGAAGGACCCCCCGUCCUGUGGAAUUCAAUCAACCAUCACCCAGGGGGCACAGCUGGCACUUCCUGGUCCCUUUACAGACCUUGGUUCCUUAAAGGAGCCUCUCCGCACCCUCCUUCCUCCGUUUUCUGGACGGCAAAGCCGAGGCUCAGAGGAGCAGUGGACUUGCCUAAGGUCUUGAAGCUAGGAAGUCGCAACGGUGGGACUCGAACCCAAGUCCGCCGAGUCCCCAUGGUCUGUUUGUUACGCUGGCUCCACCCAAAUAUCGAGAAAAUCAGCCGAGUAGACAAACUGACCUCCGCGUAAGGAACGACCACCCUGGUACCCAGAGUUACCGUGCAGGUACGGGUGACCAACCGUCUCCGUUGGCCCAGGACCGAGCGUGUUCCUGGGUUGCGGGACUUUCGACCCGUGAGUGGGUCACCCCACACGUAGGGUUGUACAGAUGAUUCACUGAACAAAAGCGCCUGACCCAGGAGCAGGACGAGGCCGUCGUUCAGCCAUGCUCCACGCACCCAGCUGUCCCCUGUGCAUCAGGGCUGUGUCCCCUCCCCCCCAAGGAAGUUGCAGUGUGGACUAGCAGAGGCCCAAGGGCAGCCUGUCUCAAGAUGAGCCACAUUGGCAUGGGGAUUAUUUUGAGCUGAAGGCAACUGGGACCCUACAGGCUCAAGAGAAACGCUUGCCCCUCUUUCAACUACAUAAAAGAAUCUAAAUCAGAGGAUCUUUCCAGAAAUAAGGGUUAUUACCAGAGAUAAGUUUUAUCUUGAGUGACCCAUCUGUAUGGCAGGGCAAAUGUUGGUUUUCCAAACAUGUACUCCUUUUCAUCUUCCUGUGAAUUACAUUCUUUCCCUUUGAAGUCUGAGACCCCUACCCCCUUCUCCUUAGUUCAGAAUGGCAUACGUACCUCAUUUUGCCUGUCUUUGGACUUUCCACGUCUGUGGGGAUUCCCUGUACGUAUGCUAUUAAAUCUGCUUUCCUCCUGCUAUUGAUUCUUAGUCCAGCUAGAAUGGCCCUUGAAGGGGACAGGAAUUCUUGCUUCCUGAUGCUGCCUACGGUCCCACCAAUUCCUCUGACAUUACUAACCCAGAAGUCUAAGCAGAUGAGUAAUCAAGGUAAUGUCCUCAUUUGUUUUUUUUUUUUUUUUGAGACAGAGAGAGAAAGUGAUCGAGGGGCACAGAGAAAAAGAGAGAGAAUCCUACAAGGGGCAGAGAGAGAGAAGUGGAGCUCACCCAAAGUGGGACUCGAACUCACAAACUGUGAGCUCAUGCCCUGAGUCAGAUGCUUAACCGACUGAGCCACCCAGGCGCCUGGGUAAUGUUCUCAUUUUAAACUAACCUUUCGACCCUCUUUGGCCAGAGAAUUUCUCCUAGUUCCCCCCCCCACCCCCCCCACCCCCACAUACACACACUAUCAAACACAAAUUCCUAACCGUGUUCUUACAAACUAGACCUGUCACAGAUGGGAAGUGAAACUGGAGGGCUAUGGUAGAUCUAGAAUGCUCUGUCUGAUAGCAAGCCUGUCCUCCUGGGUAUAUGGUAGGAAUGCACUUUCCAUCUUGGAAUGGGGUGGUCCAUCUUGGAAUCUCCAGCCAAUGACUCGUGAGCAAAAUUGAAUGCGUCGCUUCUGGACUACGGCCAUCAGUUCUGCUGAAAGUUCUCAAAUGGUCUUCCUCUGUGCCACAGUGAGGGCAACGUUCAAGAUGGCGGCAGCUCUGUCCCAGGGGUCCUGUCACUGAACAGAUCCCCUGGCUAACGUGUGAUCGACAUGGAGCCUAGGUAAGAACUAAAUAUUUGCUGUUAAAAGCCAGUUGUCCUUGGGGGGCGUUUCUCACUGUGGCAUAACCCAGCCUCACUGCGCUCCAUGGCGAAGAAGCUUACACUUGAUUCUGUGAACUACAUGUGGGGCUCUGGAGGGGAGUGUAGUCAGGCUUGCAGUUUCCAAAGACCACUCUACUCUAUCUCAUUGGGGUUGUUAAACAUAAAUAAGUUUAAUAACAGGGCUUGAAUAUAUUCUUAUGUAUAUUCUUCAAUAUAUUCUUAGAAACUACGAUUUUUUUUUUUUAACUUUGAUCUUACUUUUCUUUCGGUAAACGUUACUUUUUUUUUUUUUCAACGUUUAUUUAUUUUUGGGACAGAGAGAGACAGAGCAUGAACGGGGGAGGGGCAGGGAGAGAGGGAGACACAGAAUCGGAAACAGGCUCCAGGCUCUGAGCCAUCAGCCCAGAGCCCGACGCGGGGCUCGAACCCACGGACCGCGAGAUCGUGACCUGGCUGAAGUCGGACGCUUAACCGACUGCGCCACCCAGGCGCCCCGGUAAACGUUACUUUAACGGUAGUUGUGAUGGUUGGCUCUAUGUGUCAACUUCACGGAGCUAAGGGAUGCCCAAACAGCUGGUGAAACAUCAUUUCUGGGAGCGUCUGGGAGAGUGUUUCCAGAAGACAUUAGCCUUUGAAUCGGCAGAUCGGGUAAAGAGAUGUCUUCACCUGUGUGGCCGAAGGUUCUGAUCAGAACAGAAAGGAGGAAGGGUGAGUUCUCACUCUCAGCUUGGGGACCCCAUCUUCUCCUGCCCUUGGACAUUGGCGCUCUCCGCUCUCAAGCCUUUCGGACUCGGACUGAAUUGUGCCACCAGCUUUCCGGGAUCUCCAGCUUGCAGACGAGAGAGGGUGGGCCUUCUCAACCUCUACCAUCAUGUAAGCAACUCCUGUAAUAAGCCUCCUCUUACAUAUACGUCACUCUGUAUAUCCUAUGGGUUCUGUUUCUCCGGAGAACCCUGGCUAAUACAGGAAGCCGCGAAAAAUCUCCUGAGUGAUACAAAAAGCAAAUUUAUUGUCCUACGUUGAUUAAAAGUCAACACUUCCAGUCGGGCCGUAUGGGGCUUUCUCAACCACGCUGCCGGCCCCAAGGUCCUGCAUAGUUUUGUGCCCUCCCAACCCUGCAGUAGAUCAACACAGCCCGCAGGCUCCCUUCCGGGCAAACAGACCUGGAAGAUAGUGGGGGGCUGGGCAAGGAAGGGGUCAGCGACAGCAGGAAGUGAGCUCUGCCCUGGCUAGAGGCCAGCCGUCCUUCUGGAUCAGAAGCCACCAUUCAAGACACUUCUCUAAAGAAGACAUCCGGAUGGCCCACAGGCACAUGAGAAGAUGCUCAACGUCGCUCCUCAUCAGGGAAAUACAAAUCAAAACCACACUCAGAUAUCACCUCACGCCGAUCAGAGUGGCCAAAAUGAACAAAUCGGGAGACUAUAGAUGCUGGAGAGGAUGUGGAGAAACGGGAACCCUGUUGCACUGUUGGUGGGAAUGCAAAUUGGUGCAGCCGCUCUGGAAAACAGUGUGGAGGUUCCUCAAAAAAUUAAAAAUAGACCUACCCUAGGACCCAGCAAUAGCACUGCUAGGAAUUUACCCCAGGGAUACAGGAGUGCUGAUGCAUAGGGGCACUUGUACCCCAAUGUUUAUAGCAGCACUCACAACAAUAGCCAAUUUGUGGAAAGAGCCUAAAUGUCCAUCGACUGAUGAAUGGAUAAAGAAAUUGUGGUUUAGAUACACAAUGGAAUACUACUUGGCAAUGAGAAAGAAUGAAAUGCGGCCUUUUGUAGCAACGUGGAUGGAACUGGAGAGUGUGAUGCUAAGUGAAAUAAGCCAUACAGAGAAAGACAGAUACCAUAUGGUUUCACUCUUAUGUGGAUCCUGAGAAACUUAAUAGGAACCCAUGGGGGAGGGGAAGGAAAAAAGAAAAAAAGAGGUUCGAGUGGGAGAGAGCCAAAGCAUAAGAGACUGUUAAAAACUGAGAACAGGGGCGCCUGGGUGGCGCAGUCGGUUAAAGCGUCCGACUUCAGCCAGGUCACGAUCUCGCGGUCCGUGAGUUCGAGCCCCGCGUCGGGCUCUGGGCUGAUGGCUCAGAGCCUGGAGCCUGUUUCCGAUUCUGUGUCUCCCUCUCUCUCUGCCCCUCCCCUGUUCAUGCUCUGUCUCUCUCUGUCCCAAAAAUAAAUUAAAAAAACGUUGAAAAAAAAAAUUAAAAAAAAAAAAACUGAGAACAAACUGAGGAACAAACUGAGGGUUGAUGGGGGGUGGGAGGGAGGGGAGGGUGGGUGAUGGGUAUUGAGGAGGGCACCUGUUGGGAUGAGCACUUGGUGUUGUAUGGAAACCAAUUUGACAAUAAAUUUCAUAUAUUGAAAAAAAAAUAAACGCUUAAGGCAGACUCAAAAAAAAAAAAAAAAAGCCGCCAUUCAGACUCGAGAGGUUUGCUUGUUUCCACUCAUUUGAUUCUGUGUUAAAAUGGCAACACCCGGGACGCCUGCGUGGCUCAGUCAGUUAAGCAUCCGACUUCGGCUCAGGUCAUGAUCUCACAGUUGAGCCCUGCGUCCGACUCUGCGCUGAUAGCUCGGAGCCUGGAGCCUGCUUCGGAUUCUGUGUCUCCCUCUCUCCGCCCCACCCCUGCUUGUGCUCUCUCUCUGUCUUUCAAAAAUGAAUAAACAUAAAAUAAUUUUUUUAAAAUAAUAAAAAAAUAUAUUUACCACCUGGCCUGUCCCAGAAAGUUUGCCAAUUCCUGGUUUAGUUGAAAGACAUGUGAGUUGUCACCCAUUUGUUCCGGAUGACAGUUUAUUCAUGAAAGAAACAGUUAAUAUUAACCACCUGCGAUCUUUAUUUAACUUAUUUCUGCCUUUAUACCAAACUGCGUUCUCACCAGAGGCCUUGGGUGGGCACGUUGAGCUAUGCAAUCCAAAGUAAAAGGUUCUUGUGGACAAACCAGCCUUCCCAGUUUUCACAUUCCUUCUUUUGUAGGAACCAGAAGCUAGAUCUGCAAGUCAUUAUUUUUCUACUUGUACGGUUUUUUUCCGUCACAGAUGAAAUGUUGAAGGCAUUCCCCUCCCCUCAUUCUUUUUCUCAUUCAGACGCAAAUAAGGGGAAAAAAAUCUUUUUUUUUUUUUUUUGCUUUCCAGUUCUGCAAACCUCAACACUGGGAAUGUAUCAAAGUUAUUUUAAUCCAUAUAGGAAUACAUAUCCAAUUAUGCUUCGAUUCCUUAAACUGAAAACAAACUUAUUAUACCAAAAGGAAAUCAUCAGAGAAGAAACUCAAUCUGCUCGAACAAGUGUACGCCCCAUGUGUAUUCAAUGUGAUUAACUCUACAAAUAUUUGUAAAACACAUCGCGAUAAGUUUGGGGACUAAACAAAUAAGUGAUCCAUAAUCCCUACCCUCCAGAACUCGGUAAGAGACAGCUGUGUUAAAUAAAUAAUCAAGGUAAAGGGAGACACGGGGAAGAACAGGUACAAAACAGAGAGGAAGGAGAGGUAACAGAAGCGAAUAAUAAGUCUGAGAGCUCAGGAGAGCGUCACAGAGAAAACACCAGAGUGGGGUUUUAAAUUUUGUUUUUUAAUGCUUAUUUUUAUUUUUGAGAGAGAGAGAGAGGAGGAGGAGGGGCAGAGAGAGAGAGGGAGACACAGAAUCCGAAACAGGCUCCAGGCUCCGAGCUGUCAGCACAGAGCCCGAUGUGGGGCUCGAACCCACCAACCGUGAGAUCAUGACCUGAGCCGAAAUCAGAUGCUGAACCAACUGAGCCCCCCCAGGUGCUCCCGGAGUGGGGUUUUAAAAGAGGAGCAGAAGGUGAGUGUCCAGAAGCAGGGGUGAAGGCCUGGAGAUGUGGAAAGCAUGGAACAUCUGGAAGCUUGGGGGGUGAGGGCCGAGAAAUGAGAGCCGGUGCCCUCUUCCGAAUGCCCUCAUGGACACUUAGCUUACUUCUCUGGUGGAGAAAACAGCAACCUGAUUUUUAAGUAGAAUCCUGUGUUUGGGGGCGCCGGGAUGGCUCAGUCAGUUAAGUGUCCAGCACUUGAUUUCGGCUCAGGUCAUGGGAUCAAGCCCCACAUGGGGCUCUGCGCUGAGAGUGGAACCUGCUUGAGAUUCUCUCUCUCCCUCUUUCUCUCUACUCCUCCCCUGCUCACACACACUCUCUUUCUCAUAACUAACUAAAUAAAGCAAAAUUUUUUUAAAAUCCUGCAUUUGGACAAAAUGAAAUCCUCAAGUACAGAAAGGCUUCUCUCCACCCCAGCUCAUCGACUCCUCCCAGUGCCCACGUCAUUCUGCCACUUGGAGCGUGGCCCUCACGGUCCCAUGCCGGCGCUGUGUUCUAGACGGGCACGGGGAGGAUGGGCACACAGCUGUAGAGUCGGCCCCGGAAGGAUCCUGGGAAGCACACGCUCCGAACAGAGUCCUGAAGAAGGAAAAGUGACUCACCCAAGGUCCCGCGGUAAGGAUUUCAGAUGUAUCAUUUAUUGACGGCUCCGGUGCCCCCACAUCCUGCAAGGUUCUGAUGGUUUGACCCUUGGCAGCAUUAUGGGGUAGAUCCUGUAGUCCCCCCACUUGACAGGCAGGGCACUGAGGCUCAGAGAGCCCAAGACGCUUACCCACAGUCGCACAGCUCAUCAGGGCCAGAGCCUCCAGCAGUCUCCGUGCAAAGCCCCUGCUCCCCUAACACCCGUCCUAAUGCUAAGGCCAGGUGUCGUGGUCCCUGGCUGUGCCCUCCACCACCAGCGGGCCACCCCAACUAGCAGACCAGUAGACAGUAGCACAGCUUUGGUGACACGUAUAAAGCACGUGCCCUUGUCCUCUGAGGCGCCUCUCUCCGCGACCCAGGCUGGGUCGGCAUCUGCCAGCCCCUGGAAAGACCCCAGCCCAUCUUCGGUGCGCACGACCCGGCACCCUCGUGCCCACCUCGAGCGGCCAAGUGCAGAAGA
rnacentral:lncRNA from 1 species